rnacentral:rRNA from 1 species
UGGGGAAUAUUGGACAAUGGGCGAAAGCCUGAUCCAGCCAUGCCGCGUGUGUGAAGAAGGCCUUAUGGUUGUAAAGCACUUUAAGCGAGGAGGAGGGUACUGGUAUUAAUACUACCAGCUACUGGACAUUACUCGCAGAAUAAGCACCGGCUAACUCUGUGCCAGCAGCCGCGGUAAUACAGAGGGUGCGAGCGUUAAUCGGAUUUACUGGGCGUAAAGCGUGCGUAGGCGGCUAAUUGAGUCGGAUGUGAAAUCCCCGAGCUUAACUUGGGAAUUGCAUUCGAUACUGGUUAGCUAGAGUGUGGGAGAGGAUGGUAGAAUUCCAGGUGUAGCGGUGAAAUGCGUAGAGAUCUGGAGGAAUACCGAUGGCGAAGGCAGCCAUCUGGCCUAACACUGACGCUGAGGUACGAAAGCAUGGGGAGCAAACAGG